UGGGGAAUUUUGGACAAUGGGCGAAAGCCUGAUCCAGCAAUGCCGCGUGUGUGAAGAAGGCCUUCGGGUUGUAAAGCACUUUUGUCCGGAAAGAAAUGGCUCUGGUUAAUACCUGGGGUCGAUGACGGUGCCGGAAGAAUAAGGACCGGCUAACUACGUGCCAGCAGCCGCGGUAAUACGUAGGGUCCAAGCGUUAAUCGGAAUUACUGGGCGUAAAGCGUGCGCAGGCGGUUGUGCAAGACCGAUGUGAAAUCCCCGAGCUUAACUUGGGAAUUGCAUUGGUGACUGCACGGCUAGAGUGUGUCAGAGGGGGGUAGAAUUCCACGUGUAGCAGUGAAAUGCGUAGAGAUGUGGAGGAAUACCGAUGGCGAAGGCAGCCCCCUGGGAUAACACUGACGCUCAUGCACGAAAGCGUGGGGAGCAAACAGG
rnacentral:rRNA from 1 species